GAUCCUGGCUCAGAUUGAACGCUGGCGGAAUGCUUUACACAUGCAAGUCGAACGGCAGCGACGGGGCAACCUGGUGGCGAGUGGCGAACGGGUGAGUAAUGCAUCGGAACGUGCCAUUGAGUGGGGAUAACGUAGCGAAAGUUGCGCUAAUACCGCAUAUUCUGUGAGCAGGAAAGCAGGGGACCGCAAGGCCUUGCGCUCUUUGAGCGGCCGAUGUCAGAUUAGCUAGUUGGUGAGGUAACGGCUUACCAAGGCGACGAUCUGUAGCGGGUCUGAGAGGAUGAUCCGCCACACUGGAACUGAGACACGGUCCAGACUCCUACGGGAGGCAGCAGUGGGGAAUUUUGGACAAUGGGCGCAAGCCUGAUCCAGCCAUGCCGCGUGAGUGAAGAAGGCCUUCGGGUUGUAAAGCUCUUUCGGCCGGGAAGAAAUCGCAUGGGUUAAUACCCUGUGUGGAUGACGGUACCGGAAUAAGAAGCACCGGCUAACUACGUG
rnacentral:rRNA from 1 species